GUGGCCAUAGCUCAAAGGUAGAGCGCUUGACUGUGGAUCAAGAGGUUGCGGGUUCGAAACCCGUUGGCCACC
rnacentral:tRNA from 1 species